rnacentral:lncRNA from 1 species
CUUUUCUGUCACUUACAAGUGGUUUUCUGCUUUACUCUGAUGUUUCCCAAAGAGCCUUUGGAAGUCAACUACUGGCUAAGUGCUCUGUCUUCAACAAAAAAAGGACUAGCCUAGAAACCUAUGGAAGUGGACCGUGCCACAUAUACUUGGAUACAGAAUUCUGAUGGCAUUGCUUCAAUAACUAUGAGAUCCUACCAGUGAGCUGAGUCAGGAGUUCCAGACGUCUAGUCAAGAAGCAGAUGUGUUCAUGAGACUACUAACCCCAAAUCAAGUGGAACAAGAAUUAAUUACAAAGAACUGAACGAAGUGAAUAAAUGGAUUGGACGCGGGCCUUGCUUGGAACAGUGGUGAUGCUUUAACGCUCUGUUUUCUGGAUGUAAGGGAACAUCCAGAAAACAGAGCAUUGAGCUCUUUUCUCUCAGCCACCUAUCACUCAUAACAACUUAUUAGACUGUGCUCUUGUAAAGCAGAAAUGAAACAUUGAUCUUUUCUGCCCUGACUCACCCUGUGAAAUUUGGGGAACUCUUAUUGAGGAUGCCUGUUUUCGUGACACUCUAGAUAUUUGCAAAGAUUCAGUAAGAGUCUGUCCACCUUGUUAAUAGGAACAAAAUGGACACACUACAAUCAAGGCUGACGUUGCCUAGAAUGUCAUAGUUGAGAAGGAUGCUCAUUUCAUCAGAUGUGCCCACACUUUUCAGGAAUUAAGGUGGACUUCAUGGAGCCAAUGCUUACAAAGUCCCUCUUGGUAAAACUGGCCUAGUAACUGGCUUCAUAGGGUUCCCAGACUCAUAGUUUCUUUGGAGUUUCCAUCAAGACACAGUUUGCACUGACCAUCACCAUGGCCUCCAGUUUUCAACUGGGCACUUAGAACCUAUUAUGUCUCACUGCUUGCUGCUUGUCAAGUCCAGAGUGAUAGCAUACCUAAGAGGACCAAGAAAGUCAACACUUUUUUACCUUCCACAAAGGAGAAUAACAUCCCUGGGCAGUCAUGCCUCAGGGGUACCCUGAAGCCGUGUACUGUUUUUCUCAGGUAGCUUCUCUACGUAAUUGUCGACUAGCCUUUAGAGUGCCAACGUGAAGUGUUCUUGUUGUCACCCUGCAGAAU